rfam:TNVERIFIED: Penicillium marneffei strain ATCC 18224 mitochondrial sequence.
AAUUAUGUGUAAAAAGAAAUUAUUAUGGAUAAUUAGCUAUAUAUUAAAGAAUCACAUAGAUGUUAUCUUGAUUCUAAGAGAAAUCCUAAAUAAUAAAACAAAGUGAAUUGAAAUAUCUCAGUAACUUUAGGAAAAUAAAUCAAACGAGAUUAUUAUUUAAGUAAAUACUAAAUAAUAAUAGCCUAAUUUAAGUAAAAUGGAUAAUAUCUGUUUGAAUAUAGGGGAACCUUCCUCUAAGGCUAAAUAUGAUAUAUAAGCGAUAGUGAAUAGUACCGUGAGGUAACAUUUGAAAUAGUAAUUUUAUAAGCAGCUCGAGUAAAAAUUAAAAUUAAAAAUAAGAGUGUACCUUUUGCAUAAUGGGUCAGCAAGUUAAUUUUAGAUGCAAGUGGUAUAAAUAAUUAUAUAUGGUAUAAUCUAUAUAAUUAAAUUACCUAAGAUAAACCAAUUAUGAAAAAAUGAUAAGUAUCUAAAAUUAGACCCGAAGGCUAGUGAUCUUACCAUGAUCAGGGUUAAAAAGGCCCGAACGGGUUAUCGUUGUAUAGAUAUCCGAUGAAUUGUGGUAAGUUAGUGAAAGAUAAAACUGACUAGUAUAGCUGGUUUUCCGCGAAACCUAUGUGAGUAGGUAAUUUAAUUAACAUCUUAGCAGGUACAGAACUGUGAUCUCGGACAAUAUUAUUUUUAUAAUACUUGUUUACAUCGGGGGAUUGUAGUGAUUUUAUCGGAGAGUAUUUGCACUCGGAAGGGCAAAGAUGAAUAUUGAAUAAUCGGACAUAGUACGAUAAGGUUGUAUGUCUAAAGGGAAACAGCCCAGAACAAGAGUUUAAGGUUCCAAAAUUAUUGUUAAGUGAAAUUAAGGAUGUUUUUUUCAAAAACAAUCAGGAAAUAGGCUUAGAGGCGGCCAUUUUUUGAAGAUCUCGUAACAGAGCACUGAUUAAAUUUAAUAGGAAAAAAUACCGAAAAUUUAACGGAUCUAAAUAAUAUACCGAAACCUUGUACACAAUAACUGUGGGGUAGCGGAACAUCGGAUGUUUGAAUAAUUAGUAUAUUUAUUUUAUUAAGUAUACUUACACAUAUAAGUCAAAUGUAUUGUUUAUAAAAAAAAUAUAUUUAUAUAUUUUUUUUAUAAAUUUUCAUUUUUCAUAGAUUGGCUCAUAUUUUGAGUUUGACUUAUAUUGUUGAGAGAAUUCCGAUAGAGAAUGCUGACAUGAGUAACGAAAAAGUUAACCUCGCCUUAAGCUUAUGGUAUUUAAAUUAAUUUUCGGUGUCUAAGUAAUUAAUCUAAAGAUAAUUACGAUGACGUAAUGGUGAAUUUUUAAUUUAUAUAAUUAUAAAUUUAACUAAUUACAAAACUAUAAGUAACAAUAUAUAUAAUAUAUUACUAUAAUGAAAGAUUGCAUAACCUUUGUAAAGUAGCAGAGGUUCAGGAAAUAAGUUUUUUAUUAUAUACUAUUUAUAUUAUACAAAAUAUUGUUAUAUUAAAUGAUAUAGUAAUAAAAAAGUAAUUAGCAUAUACCGUACCUAGAUACUAUCACAAGUAAGCAAGUAGAGUAUACAAAGGCGUUUGAGUGAACAAUCAUUAAGGAACUCGGCAAAUUGACUACCGUAACUUCGGGAUAAGGAGAACCAUUUUUAUUAGUUUGACCAAUUUUAUAUUGGAUAAUUAUUAAAUUAAUAGAAAGAGGGGGCAUAGAAUAAUGUUGUACGACUGUUUAAUAAAAACAAAGCACUCUGCCAAGAUAAAAGUCUAAGUAUUGAGUGUGAUGUCUGCCCAAUGUCGGCUGGAUAACGAAUUUAUCUUGAUAUUUAUUUAAGGUUUUGAAGGAUACCCCGAUCAAUGGCGGCCUUACCUAUGAGGGUCCUAAGGUAGCGGAAUACCUUGGCCGUUAAAUGCGGUCUUUGCAUGAAUGACUUAACGAUACAACAGCUGUCUCGAUGAUUGUCUCAGUGAAAUUGGAAUAGCAGUGCAGAUACUGUUUACCUCUAGAUAGACGAGAAGACCCUAUGCAGCUUUACUGUUACUAAUUACAAGAGAUUACUUUAAGUUAAUUGCGAGUGUAUAAGGUAGUCGUAAGACAAUAAUGAAACACCUUUAUUUGUACUUAUUAUCUACUCUUGAUGAUUAGGAGGCAGUUUAUGCGGGGCACAGAUCCCACAAAAAGUACCUGGGUAUAUCCAAAGUUCAUAUUGUAAAUUUGUAAAUUUAGUUACAAAUAUUUUAAUUUGUUAUUAAUUAUGUUAAUAAUAAUACAGUUAUUAUUAGAUUAAAUUCAGUAUAUUUUUUAUUUUUAGUAAGAUUUUAACUAUAUGGUGAAUAGAUGUAUUUUAAGUUAAAUUUUUUUAUUUAGCUUAUUUUUAUAUUAAUAUUGUAUAUGUUCUUUAUUAAUAUAAUUUUUAUAUAUACUAUAAAAGUUUAAUGGCUAAAUCUUGCUUUACUGUUUGACUUACAAGUCUAUCAGUCGCGUAAGCGGGGCAUAUGAUCACAAGAUGCAUAAAGGAAAGGUCUUGGAUUAAAGAAAAAGUUACGCUAGGGAUUUAGCUUAAGUCCCCUAAUAUCAUAAGAUAUUAUAUAUAAUUUG